AUGAAGGAAACAGAGUCACGAGACGGGGCGUCUCUAUUUGCAGUCAGUUUUGGCAUCUUUGAAUUUCUGUUUGCUUGUCUUUCUAAAAUAUACAGAUUAAGAAUAGCUUGGGUUUAGAUAGUUGAUAAGAUGAUUUUCAUGAUCUUCAGAAAUAGGCAACUGGUAGUGUGAGGAGAAUCCAAUUGAAGGCCACUGGUAGUGGAAAGAUGAGAUAUAUGUGCCAUGUGCCUUGCAGGUUCGAACGGUUUCAAUUUUAAUUGUGUUGCUCUAUUUGUUCUUCUUAAUUUGUUUGUAUUGGUUUGAGUUUUACGUUUUAUUGGGUUUUCUGAGAAUCUGAACAGGUAUUGAAGCGGCACAAUGGAAGAAGGGAGCAGCAGCAACUGCUCAGUAUUCCAAAUAGUCAUUUUAAUCAUCAUUUGGACUACCCAAUUAUAGUUGUACAAGGAAAUUUUAUUGAGUGCUAUGUUAUACUAGUUGCUGACUCAAAUCUAUAUUCUGAAUUCUAAAAUUAAUUGAGUGCUAUGUUAUACUAAUUGCUGACAUUUUCCCUUCAUUUACUUAUUGAACGUUAGUCUGGUGCUUGCUAAAAAUAUUUACUGGUUAUAUUUCUCUUUAAAUUUGAAGCCUUCCUACCAAUUUCAACAUUUGCAGCCUUGAUUUUAUAACCAUUUUCAUUACUUUGGCAAGAACAUUUUCAGGUCUUUAAAAAUUAGUGUAAUUUUACAACACAAUUUUUGCACGGCUUCUGUAUUGAGGUUUGAUUAAUUUAGCUUAAGCAAUAUGCUAUAUGUCUCCGACUUUUCAAAUAAUUGUCAUUUGAUUGAAUAGUUAUAUCUCUUGCAAGUGAAUGAAAUUCUUAAGUCGUUUCUCAUUUCAUGGAGUCCUUUCAAGUGUUAAUGAAAAUGUAGGGUGAGCUGGUGGUGCUAUCACUGGAAGUAA
rnacentral:lncRNA from 1 species